rnacentral:rRNA from 1 species
CAGCAGCCGCGGUAAUACGUAGGGUGCGAGCGUUAAUCGGAAUUACUGGGCGUAAAGCGUGCGCAGGCGGUUGUGUAAGACAGGUGUGAAAUCCCCGGGCUUAACCUGGGAACUGCGCUUGUGACUGCACAGCUAGAGUAUGGCAGAGGGGGGUGGAAUUCCACGUGUAGCAGUGAAAUGCGUCGAGAUGUGGAGGAACACCGAUGGCGAAGGCAGCCCCCUGGGCCAAUACUGACGCUCAUGCACGAAAGCGUGGGGAGCGAACAGGAUUAGAUACCCGGGUAGUCCCUGUCUCUUAUAC